rnacentral:rRNA from 1 species
GAUGAACGCUGGCGGCGUGCUUAACACAUGCAAGUCGAACGAUGAAGCCCAGCUUGCUGGGUGGAUUAGUGGCGAACGGGUGAGUAACACGUGAGUAACCUGCCCUUGACUCUGGGAUAAGCCUGGGAAACUGGGUCUAAUACUGGAUAUGACUUCUCAUCGCAUGGUGGGGGGUGGAAAGAUUUAUUGGUCUUGGAUGGACUCGCGGCCUAUCAGCUUGUUGAUGAGGUAAUGGCUCACCAAGGCGACGACGGGUAGCCGGCCUGAGAGGGUGACCGGCCACACUGGGACUGAGACACGGCCCAGACUCCUACGGGAGGCAGCAGUGGGGAAUAUUGCACAAUGGGCGCAAGCCUGAUGCAGCGACGCCGCGUGAGGGAUGACGGCCUUCGGGUUGUAAACCUCUUUCAGUAGGGAAGAAGCGAGAGUGACGGUACCUGCAGAAGAAGCGCCGGCUAACUACGUG